rnacentral:rRNA from 1 species
GCUUUCCAUGCAGUCGACGGCAGCACGGACUUCGGUCUGGUGGCGAGUGGCGAACGGGUGAGUAAUACAUCGGAACGUGCCCAGUUGUGGGGGAUAACUACUCGAAAGAGUAGCUAAUACCGCAUGAGAACUGAGGUUGAAAGCAGGGGAUCGUAAGACCUUGCGCAACUGGAGCGGCCGAUGGCAGAUUAGGUAGUUGGUGGGAUAAAAGCUUACCAAGCCGACGAUCUGUAGCUGGUCUGAGAGGACGACCAGCCACACUGGGACUGAGACGCGGCCCAGACUCCUACGGGAGGCAGCAGUGGGGAAUUUUGGACAAUGGGCGAAAGCCUGAUCCAGCAAUGCCGCGCGCAGGAUGAAGGCCUUCGGGUUGUAAACUGCUUUUGUACGGAACGAAAAGCUUCGGGUUAAUACCCUGGAGUCAUGACGGUACCGUAAGAAUAAGCACCGGCUAACUACGUGCCAGCAGCCGCGGUAAUACGUAGGGUGCAAGCGUUAAUCGGAAUUACUGGGCGUAAAGCGUGCGCAGGCGGUCUUGUAAGACAGAGGUGAAAUCCCCGGGCUCAACCUGGGAACUGCCUUUGUGACUGCAAGGCUGGAGUGCGGCAGAGGGGGAUGGAAUUCCGCGUGUAGCAGUGAAAUGCGUAGAUAUGCGGAGGAACACCGAUGGCGAAAGCAAUCCCCUGGGCCUGCACUGACGCUCAUGCACGAAAGCGUGGGGAGCAAACAGGAUUAGAUACCCUGGUAGUCCACGCCCUAAACGAUGUCAACUGGUUGUUGGGUCUUAACUGACUCAGUAACGAAGCUAACGCGUGAAGUUGACCGCCUGGGGGAGUACGGCCGCAAGGUUG